rfam:Oryza glumipatula chromosome 6, whole genome shotgun sequence.
AAUAAGUGUAGUUUUAGCAAUGUUCAUAUCUAACGUUUGACCGUUUGUCUUAUUUGAAAAAAAAUUAUGAUUAGUAUUUUUAUUGUUAUUACAUGAUAAAACAUGAGUAGUACUUUAUGUGUGACUAUUUUUUUAACUUUUUCAUAAGUUUUUCAAAUAAGACGAACGGUUAAAACGCUAAACACGGAUAUCUAUGGCUCCACUUAUU